rnacentral:rRNA from 1 species
AGAGUGAACGCUGGCGGCAGGCCUAACACAUGCAAGUCGAGCGGCAGCGCGGGGGCAACCCUGGCGGCGAGCGGCGGACGGGUGAGGAAUACAUCGGAAUCUGCCUUGUUGUGGGGGAUAACGUAGGGAAACUUACGCUAAUACCGCAUAAGACCUGAGGGUGAAAGCGGGGGACCGCAAGGCCUCGCGCGACAAGAUGAGCCGAUGUCCGAUUAGCUAGUUGGUGAGGUAAAGGCUCACCAAGGCGACGAUCGGUAGCUGGUCUGAGAGGAUGAUCAGCCACACUGGAACUGAGACACGGUCCAGACUCCUACGGGAGGCAGCAGUGGGAAUAUUGGACAAGUGGGGGCAACCUGAUCCAGCCAUGCCGCGUGUGUGAAGAGG